rnacentral:rRNA from 1 species
UACAGAGGGUGCAAGCGUUGUUCGGAAUUAUUGGGCGUAAAGGGCGCGUAGGCGGUGCCACAAGUCACCUGUGAAAUCUCCGGGCUUAACUCGGAGCCUGCAGGCGAAACUGUGGUGCUGGAGUGUGGGAGAGGUGCGUGGAAUUCCCGGUGUAGCGGUGAAAUGCGUAGAUAUCUGGAGGAACACCGGUGGCGAAGGCGGCAUCCUGGACCGACACUGACGCUGAGGUGCGAAAGCGUGGGGAGCAAACAGG